CUUUAUGAAGGACAAGUAGGCGAUCUGACUUUGCUAUAAGUGUUCUGGCUCCUGUCCUCCCCAGCAGACCUCCUUCAUGUCCAAGCCAGGAAAAGUGGAUGGAAAUGCAGUGUUGAUGAGGAAUAGAAUAUCUGCAGAUAAAAAGAAACAAGAUGGAGUCAGUUCCCCUGCUCCCUAAUCUCAGAGCCUGUGAUCUGGAUGUCAGAGAGCACAGUACAGAGGAAAACCAAGAAUAAAGGUUGUAUACCACGAAGUACUCUCAGCCUUUGAAAGAGAAGAUGAAGUAAUAGGAAGCCUAACAAUAAGAGCUCUUUGGGUAUUAUUCCUCCUGGUUCCUGUGGAAGUGGUCCAAAGCCAUUUCAGAAUAUGAGUAAAAAUUAUUCUGAAAAACUGGACGUAUUUGGCAAACUAGCGCAAUAGGAGCAGACAGAGGAAUCGACUCUCCUGUUGGUUAAGUCGCGGGUAUAAGAAGCCUGUGCGAACUCCAGCCGAAUCUGGAACUCUCCGGAGCGGAAGCGCACUGCAAACCUUCGCUGUAUGAGGCUCCUGGGGGAGGAGACAGUGGCCCACAUAACUGCAAGUCCCCUCCAUAAACACAGGAAAAAUAAAAAUAAUGAAACAGGAAAACCAAAGAAAGAACAACACAAUCCUGCAGAGAGGCUGAGGGCCCGGCCUUUUCUACUUGGACUCAUUUCCCAGGGACACUGUUGGGAACUGGAAAAUACUUUCCAGUCAUUUUCCAGGGGCUGCUGAGCAAUUUUCCUCCAUCAAGAAGCAGUGCGAGCUUUGCUGAUUCUAUGAAUCAGGGGCACGGAGGGCCUUUUUGCGGUCCAAAAUUGAAGGCGCUAUGACCUUGCGAAUUGAUUGAAGUUUACUAAUUUUCAAUUGAUGACACAUUGACAGCAGCAUCAGGUGGUAAAAAUACAUCGACCUGGAGUGUGUUUUUUUUUUCUCACCCCAGACUCAUUGUUGAAGUUGACAAGUAAAUGGGUUUCUGGUAAACACUUGUCCCAUUUUUCAAUCUGAACACUAAAUUGGUAUGUAGCAAUAAUGGGAGGGUAAUUACAGGAGUCCGAAGGAUCUUAAGUCUGGCGAAA